AGAACAGGAGCUAAGAGGAGCCAGCAGAAGGGGACGGCAGGAACUAGGAAAUUUAAGGCGGGGAGAAACAACUGAGAGAAGUGGACAGAAAAAAGAAAGCUUAGCAUAAAUAAGAAGGCCCGGGACUCCCGUGCGUCCAGUAGACCUGCUCUGCUAUGGAUCAAAACAAAUGAUUUGUCAUUCUGAAAUGACUCUGAAAGGGGGAAUGGAAUGUGCCCCAACGAUCAAUAUUAAAUUUUAUGCCUGCUGCACCUUUCAAAAGGCUCAAGAAGACAUUGAUUCAACUCACAGCUUACUUUCUGGGUAGCAGGACUCCACAGGGAAACAAUAAGGGCAUCAACAUCAUGGAACUUACAAGCCUGGAGUCUUGGCUUCUGGGUCAGGUGACCUUGGGGAAGUCACUUCACUUUCCCAGUUUCUAGAUGCUUCCAAGACGGUGCUGUCUGCCUAAAUUUUUCUAAACAACUCGAAGCCAUCCUUAAAGUGUUUGAGGAAUGGACAUUCUCAGGCAAAGUCGUUUCCAAGCCCCUUCGGCUCAGCACUGCACCGCAGAUCACUGCUUUCUCAAAUCAAAGGGGGCCCCCCUGCAGAGUUGGUUUACACCAUUAAAUUUCCUCCAAUGUAAAGCCA
ensembl:lncRNA novel transcript